GAAAUGCGAUAAGUAGUGUGAAUUGCAGAAUUCAGUGAAUCAUCGAAUCUUUGAACGCACAUUGCGCCCCUUGGUAUUCCAUGGGGCAUGCCUGUUCGAGCGUCAUUUACCCCCUCAAGCUCUGCUUGGUGUUGGGCGUCUGUCCCGCCUUUUGCGCGCGGACUCGCCCCAAAAGCAUUGGCAGCGGUCGUGCCAGCCUCUCGCGCAGCAGUUUGCGCUCGGUGAGGUUUCUAGGCGGAUCCGCGUCCACAAAGCCCACAUACCCAAUGUUUGACCUCGGAUCAGGUAGGGAUACCCGCUGAACUUAA
rnacentral:misc_RNA from 1 species